rnacentral:rRNA from 1 species
GACGAACCGUGCGAACGUUGUUCGGAAUCACUGGGUUUAAAGGGCGCGUAGGCGGGCUGUCAAGUCGGUGGUGAAAUCGUUCCGCUCAACGGGACAAUGGCCUUCGAUACUGGCGGUCUGGAGGGAGGUAGGGGCAUGCGGAACUUCCGGUGGAGCGGUGAAAUGCGUAGAUAUCCGGAGGAAUACCAAAGGCGAAGGCAGUGUCCUGGCUGGCAUCUGACGCUGAGGCGCGAAAGCUAGGGGAGCGAACAGG